rnacentral:rRNA from 1 species
GAUGGAAUUAGUGGUGUAGGGGUAAAAUCCGUAGAUAUCACUAGGAAUACCUAAAGCGAAGGCGAUCUCCUGGAACAAUACUGACGCUAAGGCGUGAAAGCGUGGGGAGCAAACGGGAUUAGAUACCCCGGUAGUCCACGCCCUAAACGAUGUUCACUAGUCGUCGGGAUGCUUGUCAUCUCGGUGAUGCACUUAACAGAUUAAGUGAACCGCCUGGGGAGCACGGUCGCAAGAUUAAAACUCAAAGGAAUAGACGGGGACCCGCACAAGUGGUGGAGCAUGUGGUUUAAUUCGAAGAUACGCGAAGAACCUUACCUAGCCUUGACAUUGAAGAAAUACUUUAGAGAUAGAGUAGUGCCCUUCGGGGAAUCUGAAAACAGGUGCUGCACGGCUGUCGUCAGCUCGUGUCGUGAGAUGUUGGGUUAAGUCCCGCAACGAGCGCAACCCUCGUCUUUAGUUGCCAGCAGGUUAAGCUGGGCACUCUAAAGAGACUGCCUUCGCAAGGAGGAGGAAGGUGAGGACGACGUCAAGUCAUCAUGGCCCUUAUGGCUUGGGCUACACACGUGCUACAAUGGGGCGUACAGAGAGUUGCGAUACCGCGAGGUGGAGCUAAUCUCAUAAAGCGUCUCUCAGUUCGGAUUGGACUCUGCAACUCGAGUCCAUGAAGCUGGAAUCACUAGUAAUCGUAGAUCAGCAAUGCUACGGUGAAUACGUUCCCGGGGUCUUGUACUCACCGCCCGUCACACCAUGGGAGUUGAUUUCACCCGAAAUCGGGAUGCCAAAC